rnacentral:rRNA from 1 species
CCUACGGGAGGCAGCAGUGGGGAAUAUUGCACAAUGGGGGAAACCCUGAUGCAGCGACGCCGCGUGUGGGAUGAAGGCCCUCGGGUUGUAAACCACUUUUGUAGAGAACGAAAAGACACCUUCGAAUAAAGGGUGUUGCUGACGGUACUCUAAGAAUAAGCACCGGCUAACUACGUGCCAGCCGCCGCGGUAAUACGUAGGGUGCGAGCGUUAAGCGGAAUUACUGGGCGUAAAGGGUGCGCAGGCGGUUGAGUAAGACAGAUGUGAAAUCCCCGAGCUUAACUCGGGAAUGGCAUAUGUGACUGAUCGACUAGAGUGUGUCAGAGGGAGGUGGAAUUCCACGUGUAGCAGUGAAAUGCGUAGAUAUGUGGAAGAACACCGAUGGCGAAGGCAGCCUCCUGGGACAUAACUGACGCUCAGGCACGAAAGCGUGGGGAGCAAACAGGAUUAGAUACCCGUGUAGUC